rnacentral:rRNA from 1 species
CACGUAGUUAGCCGGGGCUUCUUACUCAGGUACCGUCAUUUUCUUCCCUGCUGAUAGAGCUUUACAUACCGAAAUACUUCUUCACUCACGCGGCGUUGCUGCAUCAGGGUUUCCCCCAUUGUGCAAUAUUCCCCACUGCUGCCUCCCGUAGGAGUUUGGGCCGUGCCUCAGUCCCAAUGUGGCCGGUCACCCUCUCAGGUCGGCUACUGAUCGUCGCCUUGGUGAGCCGUUACCUCACCAACUAGCUAAUCAGACGCGGGUCCAUCUCAUACCACCGGAGUUUUUCACACAAGAAUAUGCACUCCCCGUGCGCUUAUGCGGUAUUAGCAGUCUAUUCUAACUGUUACUCCCCCUGUACUGACGGCGACGGUUACCCACGUCCGUUACUCCGACCCGUUCCGCCACUCACGUCAAUCCGGAUUCCAUACCGUAAAAUUUCCUUCCCGAUCCGUCUUCGUUCGACUUGC